rnacentral:lncRNA from 10 species
AGUUUUCUAUUUUUUUUUUUUUAUUUGAGUACUUCCUUCCUGGCACUACAAAGAUGUUCCGGGCUUGUGUUGUAUAUUUCCUUCCUCAGUCCUGGAAUCAGCCAUUUCUCCAAGGAGCAUGGUUCCUUUCAUUGAAGAAUGGUAUUACAAACCAAGAUCUGGCCACUAGGUUCGCUCAUUGCUGCUUGACGUUUCAUUGCCUCUAGGCCUUUUCAGCAGACAGAUCAAGGAAAUAUAUAUGUGCAUACUAACCUGUGCAUUUAUGCCUAAGUGUAAAUAUGUAACAUCUGUAUUUCCAUUAAAUGAAACAUGAGUUCAUACUGAUGUUCAAUCCAUUACCACAUAGAUCAUUCUAACCUCUUCCCUUUGCUUAUCUGUAAACCUCCACUGCAACUGAGAAACCCGACUCCCACCAUCGGCUCUCUUCUUGCUUCAACUGUUUAAUUCCAGUAUACAUAUAAACUGGCUUCAGAAUUG